AAACAAGCAGCAAUACUUAAAGUACAAAUAUGAUCUCAGCCAAUUAUUGAUAGGUUGUCAAUCAGAUGCAGUAUCAGGAUGGCUAACAUUGGCUUCUUUCUUCUAUGUUAAAAAAGAUCACUUUGCCUCAUUAAGUGUAAUACAUUAUGCUUUGCAGAAAUACACAGAUGAGAAAAUAUUGGUUGGACUAAACACGCCUGAGUACACAAUUAUUCAAAAACAUGAGCUGAAUCUGAUGAAAAAGGAAACACUUUAUACAGUUUUAAAAACAUUAAUAAUUGAACCUCUUUUCUUUAACAAUGAAUCAUCAAUAAUCCCACAAGAAUUACAACUAGAGGUAACACUCAUCUGUACAUUGUAUCAUCCUAUACCAUUUGCAUAUUUCCUCAGCUUCUUAUGUUACUACCAUCUUCACGACAUAACAUCAUGUAGAUACUAUUUACAGCAAC
rnacentral:lncRNA from 1 species